rnacentral:rRNA from 1 species
UGGGGAGAAGACAUUGUGUCUUCGAGUCGUUGAUUUCACACUGCCGAGAAAAGCCUCUAGAUAGAAAAUAGGUGCCCGUACCGCAAACCGACACAGGUAGUCAAGAUGAGAAUUCUAAGGUGAGCGAGCGAACUCUCGUUAAGGAACUCGGCAAAAUGACCCCGUAACUUCGGGAGAAGGGGUGCUCUUUAGGGUUAACGCCCAGAAGAGCCGCAGUGAAUAGGCCCAAGCGACUGUUUAUCAAAAACAC